UUGAGAUAAACGCUUCGAGAUGACUAUACAAUUCAAACUUUUGUAGAGUCUUAAGUCUUUAGUCUUUACGUUGAAUUGUCAUGGCCAUGGUGUAUCGAGAAGAAAUAACAUUUAUUUAUAGGAAGGCAAAUUAGAUUUACUGUUACUCCUGAGGAAAAAUUCGACGUAGAAGUCAUCGUAAAAUAAUGUGAGAUGGGUGUAUGAUUAUGAAUCUAGACGACAAACCAUGCUUCCUGACAGAAUUUGGGAGGUUUACCAUCUCAUUAUCUGUUGUUUGAAUUGCAUUCAACACGAGUAAAAUGUGGCAUACUUUGACAAAGGUAGGUGUCCUCAGGAAGAAUGUCUUGGAACUAUAAAAAUAUUAUGUUGUCAUAAUCUUCUCCAUGCCUUAACUUUUGGUAAAAUAGGUGCCUUUUGUACAUUUACUAGCAAUACUUCUACUUCAUAAACGAAUGCCAUUUUAUGGCAGAAAAGUUUGAGUUUCACAACUCUUAUGGCACUAAUGAAUCCACUGCAAGGUUUGGGUGAUUUAAGUGAUGCAUAAAAGCUACAAGAAACUCUUGGAGAUUUUGCAAGUUCCAUGCAAGUAUACUGUAGUUGACCAACUAGAUAUCUUAUUGGUAAAACAAUGGACAAGGUGUGAAAAAACCCGAUUUUGCUAAACUUGGUGCUAUGAUGUUGCCAAAUAUGUGGUACUGUAAUGACAGCAAUUGACCUGUGGAAGGAACCAAAUUGAGGUACCAGAUUUUCGCUUCUCUUGUGAUAGUUCACUUGACAAUGUCCAAAGUACGGGUCCGGUUUAAAAAUGUUUCAAAUAGUGGCCACCAGCUGGUGCAGAUAACCUGGUCUUAUCUCUUCUUUGUUGACUUUUGUACUUUAUCAUGUAUUCGUGUCCUGCUCCUUAUAAUUUUUGCGUAAUAUGUUAAGUCUGACCUGUCUCCGUUUUUAUUGUAUGUAAUGUUAUGUAUUGUAAGUAAUGUCUUGCCUUAUGUAUUUUGUCACUCGUUUGCUUAGGAUAUGCUUUCGACUCAGACGUAGUUAAUUACACAUUCGGGUUUUGUUUUGUUUUUCCAACCGGGAACAACACCAAAAAACACUUAAAAAUCGUCCAGCGCUUGUUAUUGGUUUAGUGUUUGCUAAAACAAGACUGUCAACAACUCAGUUUUAAAUGAGGUGAAUAUAAAAUUUUCAGUUCAAAAAGUGUUCAAAAGAAAAUAUUGACCGAUGGAAAUUGGGGAAGUCGAAAAGUACACACUGAGUCUGAGAACUUAAAUUAAAUCUAGGCCUUUAUAAAAAACAAUUGGCUUGUCGGUGAUGAAUAUAUAUUAUUAUCUAAAGAACUGCAAUUGCUAAAUUUUGUUAAUAAGAGUAAAAAACACAUCAAAAUUUUACGCUCGAUGACAUCAAAGUGUUAACUGCCUCACAAACACGUAGCUACGUGCGUUUUCCUAUACUUUUUCCUUCCUUUUCUUUUCACAUGCACUUUUCCCCUUUCAUUGUUGUCCCACUCCUUAACUAGGGAUUCUUCCAAUUUGAAUUGUCAGUUGCUUUAUCAGAAUAGACAUUUGAUGAAUCUUUUACCGAUUUCGCUUUUACCAUUGCAGCUAUUUUGUCUUUAAUCGAGUUCCUUAUUUUCCAUCAAAUGUUAACGACAAUCGUCCACUGUACUGAGGUCAUUCGAAAAUACUGUCUGCACUUUUAAAGCGCUUUGCAUCGCCGGCAGGCGAUUUCCAGUUGCCUUGUACGCGAAGCGAUUGCCGUACAACAUCUUCAACAUUUGAAGUGUUUUGUUCAACGACCUUUUCUGCAUGUUAAGCCUAUUCAGGUUGAGCGUUUAACGGAAGUGUUAAUCACGCUCGUUGUGCACGGCGUUGCAAUGUGACGUUUCUAUGGACGUAAAUUGACGUUUCUAAGCCGACUGGUUGCAUAGUUUAUCCAGGAGCAAUUUUUUAAAAGCUCUUGAUAAACACUUUUAUUAAAAUGUGAAGUGUUAUUAAAAAAGGACGCUUGUAUCAGCCAGGAAAAGCAUUAUCAUUACACUUGAGGUCAAGUAUUGCAGAUAAAUACAAUAAUAAGGGGCGGAAAUACAUAACAGAAAUAUAGAAAUAACCGAAAUAUAGUUUUCAAAAACAGUGCAUCAUUGUGCAUUGUGUGAAGUGUUAUCGUUUCCGUGUGUUAAUCACGUGCAAAAACUCGUUACUAUUCGUGGGUAUAAAUAAUUAGUUCCCGCGUAUAUUACAUAUUUCUCCCCUUUUUUGUUCCCCCCCCUGGUUUUCGUUGUAAGGCUAACAUAAUUUAUAACUAAACGAAGAUUCAUAGCCAUAAGUUUCUCCGUUCUUUUGCUGCCUCUCUUUUGAUAAAGUAUAUACGAGUAAGCUGAAAUAUAGCAACAGAGUGAUUAUCAACUCCGAACAUAUCUUCGAAGAUAUUUUAAACUUUUAAUAUGGGCAAUCAUAAAAAAAAUUUAAUACUUACUUGCCUAUUUCGUAAUUAAAAGAAGGAACUGUAGUUUGUAGAAAAGGCGUACUUUGUUCGUGCUCUAUCCCUUCAAC
rnacentral:lncRNA from 1 species